rnacentral:lncRNA from 1 species
UAUAUAUAUAUAGAGAGAGAGAGAGAGAGAGAGAGAGAGUAGGUCUUGUGUGCUAUUAGGAGCAAGGAAGCUUUCAUGCUUCUAAGCCGUUUUCGAUGAAAUCGACGAUCGUCUCCAUUAGACUUGAUCUAGUAUAUUUGAAGUAUCUAGAAAAUAAAUUUUACGAUUUUUCAAUAUUAUUUACUUAGUGAUCGAAAAAAUUCAAAAUCAACAGCUGAAAAUAAAAAUCUCACAAAAAAUAGUGAUGUAAUAUUAAAAUUUUCUAUUAGAGAUAUUGAUCUUGCUGUAAAUAGUCAAAAAAAUUUUCUAUCAAAAUUUCAUCUGAUUUGAAUACUCCUACACCGUUAAAGUUACAAAUUAUAUACAUCAACCAUUAAAAAUUAUUGAUUUUGAACAUUUUCGAUUGCUGGGUAAAUGAUAUAAAAAAAUUACAAAAAUUAUUUGCUAGAUACUUCAAAUAUACUAGAUUAGCCCAUCAUCGAUUCGAAAAUUUCAUCAUCUAAAAUGACUUAGGAGUACGGAUGCCUCCGUGCUCCUAGUAGCACACAAGACCUAGCUACUCUAUUUAGAGAGAGAGAAAAAAAAUU